rnacentral:rRNA from 1 species
AACGCUGGCGGCAUGCCUUACACAUGCAAGUCGAACGGCAGCACGGGAGCAAUCCUGGUGGCGAGUGGCGAACGGGUGAGUAAUAUAUCGGAACGUGCCCAGUCGUGGGGGAUAACGUAGCGAAAGCUACGCUAAUACCGCAUACGAUCUAUGGAUGAAAGCGGGGGGAUCGCAAGACCUCGCGCGAUUGGAGCGGCCGAUAUCAGAUUAGGUAGUUGGUGAGGUAAAGGCUCACCAAGCCGACGAUCUGUAGCUGGUCUGAGAGGACGACCAGCCACACUGGGACUGAGACACGGCCCAGACUCCUACGGGAGGCAGCAGUGGGGAAUUUUGGACAAUGGGCGCAAGCCUGAUCCAGCAAUGCCGCGUGCAGGAUGAAGGCCUUCGGGUUGUAAACUGCUUUUGUACGGAACGAAACGGUGAGCUCUAAUACAGUUUGCUAAUGACGGUACCGUAAGAAUAAGCACCGGCUAACUACGUG